GCGGGGAAGGGAAGCUUCCUGGAGAGAGGAGGGAAGUGUUUGCUUCUCCUCCCAAUGACCCCCAUCCACAAGGUUACAAAACAGCAUGCACCACCCUAAAUCUCUUUUCCCAAAGCAAUUCUUCAAAUCCAUUUUCUUGGUCCAACCUCACUUCAAGGGGAAAAGAAGAGAUUUAUUGUACCAUUCUGCAGAUGGAGAAACUGAUACUCAGAAAAGCAAAAUGAUUCACUGAAGGUCAGAGAACUAAUUGGGGACCAAAACAUUUGCAAUUAAGUACGGCUUCAAGGGACACCUGCGUGGCUCAGUGGG